GUCUCACCACUUGGCGAAGCGAGCGCCCUGCUGGUAGUAUGCCGCCUCGCGCGAGGCAAGGCCGUCGAGACCUUGGCACCAUGACUCGUUGGGUCAGUUUGGAGUGAAAUUCAUACCUUGUCGACCUUGAUACCUGGAACGAUUUUCUGCUCAGUGAGGAUGUCGACAAUCUUCUUGCCAUCUACAGUUGACUGGUACAGAGUCUCCUCGAAGAGGAUAGCACCGGAGAUGUACUGUCCCAAGCCCGGUGCGGUGACAAGGAGGGUCCGGUAAGCCUGGCGGUUGGCCUCGGUGUUCUCAAGGCCAAUUGACGCAAGCCUCUUACCGCAGGUCGCGUUCGACUCAUCCAUGGCAAGGAUACCCCUUCCUGGUGAUGCAAUGGUUUUC
rnacentral:sRNA from 1 species